GGGAAUAUUGCACAAUGGGGGAAACCCUGAUGCAGCGACGCCGCGUGAGUGAGGAAGUAUUUCGGUAUGUAAAGCUCUAUCAGCAGGGAAGAAAAUGACGGUACCUGACCAAGAAGCCCCGGCUAACUACGUGCCAGCAGCCGCGGUAAUACGUAGGGGGCAAGCGUUAUCCGGAUUUACUGGGUGUAAAGGGAGCGUAGGCGGCUGGGUAAGCCAGAAGUGAAAGCCCGAGGCUCAACCACGGGACUGCUUUUGGAACUACAUGGCAUGAUUGCAGGAGAGGCAAGUGGAAUUCCUAGUGUAGCGGUGAAAUGCGUAGAUAUUAGGAGGAACACCAGUGGCGAAGGCGCCUUGCUGGACUGUAAAUGACGCUGAGGCUCGAAAGCGUGGGGAGCAAAC
rnacentral:rRNA from 1 species